CCUACGGGGUGCUGCAGUGAGGAAUAUUGGUCAAUGGGCGAGAGCCUGAACCAGCCAAGUCGCGUGAGGGAGUACUGCCCUAUGGGUUGUAAACCUCUUUUGUCGGGGAGCAAAAGCCGGACGUGUCCGGCUGUGAGAGUACCCGAAGAAAAAGCAUCGCCUAACUCCGUGCCAGCAGCCGCGGUAAUACGGAGGAUGCGAGUGUUGUACGGAGUGAUUGGGUUUAAAGGGGUCGCAGGCGGAUUUUUAAGUCAGCGGUCAACUCGUGGGGCUCAACCCCAUCCAGCCGUUGAAACUGGGGAUCUAGAGUGUGCGAGAGGUAUGCGGAAUGCGUGGUGUAGCGGGGAAAUGCAUAGAUAGCACGCAGAA
rnacentral:rRNA from 1 species